UACGUAUGGGGCGAGCGUUGUCCGGAAUUAUUGGGCGUAAAGGGUACGUAGGCGGUUUUUUAAGUCAGGUGUCAAAGCGUGGAGCUUAACUCCAUUAAGCACUUGAAACUGAAAGACUUGAGUGAAGGAGAGGAAAGUGGAAUUCCUAGUGUAGCGGUGAAAUGCGUAGAUAUUAGGAGGAAUACCGGUGGCGAAGGCGACUUUCUGGACUUUUACUGACGCUCAGGUACGAAAGCGUGGGGAGCAAACAGG
rnacentral:rRNA from 2 species